GCCAGGCGUGGUGGCUCAUGCCUGUAAUCCCAGCACUUUGGGAGGCUGAGGCGGGUGGAUCACCUGAGGUCAGGAGUUCGAGACCAGCCUGGCCAACAUGGUGAAACCCCGUCUCCA
rnacentral:SRP_RNA from 1 species